rnacentral:rRNA from 1 species
AAUUCGCCCUUGCAAGUCUGGUGCCAGCAGCCGCGGUAAUUCCAGCUCCAAUAGCGUAUAUUAAAGUUGUUGCAGUUAAAAAGCUCAUAGUUGAAACUUGGGCCUGGCUGGCGGGUCCGCCUCACCGCGUGCACUCGUCCGGCCGGGCCUUCCUUCUGGAGAACCUCAUGCCCUUCACUGGGCGUGCUGGGGAAUCAGGACUUUUACUUUGAAAAAAUUAGAGUGUUCAAAGCAGGCCUUUGCUCGAAUACGUUAGCAUGGAAUAAUAAAAUAGGGCGUGCGUUUCUAUUUUGUUGGUUUCUAGAGACGCCGCAAUGAUUAACAGGAACAGUCGGGGGCAUCAGUAUUCAGUUGUCAGAGGUGAAAUUCUUGGAUUUACUGAAGACUAACUACUGCGAAAGCAUUUGCCAAGGAUGUUUUCAUUAAUCAGUGAACGAAAGUUAGGGGAUCGGAGACGAUCAGAUACCGUCGUAGUCUUAACCGUAAACUAUGCCGACUAGGGAUCGGGCGAUGUUCUUUUUCUGACUCGCUCGGCACCUUACGAGAAAUCAAAGUUUUUGGGUUCUGGGGGGAUUAUGGUCGCAAGGCUGAAACUUAAAGAAAUUGACGGAAGGUCACCACCAGGCGUGGAGCCUGCGGCUUAAUUUGACUCAACACGGGGAAACUCACCAGGUCCAGAUGAAAUAAGGAUUGACAGAUUGAGAGCUCUUUCUUGAUUUUUCAGGUGGUGGUGCAUGGCCGUUCUUAGUUCGUGGGGUGACUUGUCUGCUUAAUUGCGAUAACGAGCGAGACCUUACUCUGCUAAAUAGCCAGGCUAGCUUUGGCUGGUCGCCGGCUUCUUAGAGAGACUAUCAACUCAAGUUGAUGGAAGUUUGAGGCAAUAACAGGUCUGUGAUGCCCUUAGAUGUUCUGGGCCGCACGCGCGCUACACUGACAGAGCCAACGAGUUCUUUACCUUGUUCGAAAGAAUUGGGCAAUCUUGUUAAACUCUGUCGUGCUGGGGAUAAAGCAUUGCAAUUAUUCUUUUCAACGAGGAAUGCCUAGUAAGCGCGUGUCAUCAGCAUGCGUUGAUUACGUCCCUGACCUUUGUACACACCGCCCGUCGCUACUACCGAUUGAAUGGCUCAGUGAGGCUUUCGGACCGGCUCGGGGAGGUUGGCAACGACCACCCCAAGCCGGAAAGUUAUCCAAACUCGGUCAUUUAGAGGAAGUAAAAGUCGCAACAAGGUCUCCGUAGGUGAACCCUGCGAAAGGGCGAACUCGUAA